rnacentral:rRNA from 1 species
AUGGCCCACGCGAUGAGCCCACUGUCCCUCGGCUGCACACUCGAGAGGGAGAGAGCUCAAGAUCCCUCCGCACCUGCUCCGCACCUGCUCCGCAUCACCAACCAUGACCCCGAAGACUUCUUCGCCUACUUCACCUUGUGGGUGCACAAGGACCUUUCCGUGUGGUGUAGCUCGCUGUCGGUCGAUGCCGUGCCUUUCCUGCUCGAGCCGUGGAGGGAGAUGCCCACGCCGUCUGCCUUAAGUGGAUGUUGCACGUUGGAGGCCAUAGGCGACAAGGUGCUCGUGGACCGCCUGGAUAGUCGAACUCACGAGCGCAUCAACACCAAGCUGUUCGCAUGCUGGGUGUGGUGCUGGGAAACUUCCCACAUCCCCACAAAGCGCAGGAUCUGCAAGCACGCCCGGGGUGCCGGCCGCGUCGACGAGAUGGUGGGAUACUCCCCCCCCCCGAGUCAUGAUGUAGCGCCAUCAUCGGAGCUCCUGCAAUACGACCUGCUCCUUCACCUCGACCGACUGGAGGAUUGGACGCCGCUCUUGCCACGCCCGUCCCGCUCACCGCAAAGUGGCAUCCCCUCCGACGACGAUGAGCCUGACGAGUACCCUUACCCAAGGAUCGAGCCGGGCAUCUGGGCUGAGCGCGUGGAAGAAUGCAGCAUUAGAGCACAUCCUGUAAGAGCAUACAUAUUGUCAUGGCUUUUCAUGCCUUCAAUUAAAACACCUACACUUCUUGCCAAGUCACUUACUCCCAGCUAG